AAAAUUUUAAGUUAAAAAAACUAAUUGCCUUCAAAGCUUUAAAUAUAAUUUUUUUUUUUUAAAUUUUA
rnacentral:tRNA from 1 species